rnacentral:rRNA from 1 species
GGAAUCCUGCACAAUGGGGGAAACCCUGAUGCAGCGACGCCGCGUGAGCGAUGAAGCCCUUCGGGGUGUAAAGCUCUUUCGGCAGGGAAGAUUAUGACGGUACCUGCAGAAGCAGCUGCGGCUAACUACGUGCCAGCAGCCGCGGUAAUACGUAGGCAGCAAGCGUUGUUCGGAGUUACUGGGCGUAAAGGGUGUGUAGGCGGUUUUCUAAGUUUGGUGUGAAAUCUCCCGGCUCAACUGGGAGGGUGCGCCGAAAACUGGAAAGCUAGAGUACUGGAUGGGAGAGUGGGAUUCCUGGUGUAGCGGUGAAAUGCGUAGAUAUCAGGAGGAACACCUGUGGUGUAGACGGCUCUCUGGACAGUCACUGACGCUGAGACACGAAAGCGUGGGUAGCAAAC